GAUGAACGCUGGCGGCGUGCUUAACACAUGCAAGUCGAACGGAAAGGCCCAAGCUUGCUUGGGUACUCGAGUGGCGAGCGGGUGAGUAACACGUGGGUGAUCUGCCCUGCACUUCGGGAUAAGCCUGGGAAACUGGGUCUAAUACCGGAUAGGACCACAUUUUGGAUGGUGUGGUGGAAAGUUUUUCGGUGUGGGAUGAGCUCGCGGCCUAUCAGCUUGUUGGUGGGGUAAUGGCCUACCAAGGCGUCGACGGGUAGCCGGCCUGAGAGGGUGUACGGCCACAUUGGGACUGAGAUACGGCCCAGACUCCUACGGGAGGCAGCAGUGGGGAAUAUUGCACAAUGGGCGCAAGCCUGAUGCAGCGACGCCGCGUGGGGGAUGACGGCCUUCGGGUUGUAAACUCCUUUCGCUAGGGACGAAGCGUUAUGUGACGGUACCUGGAGAAGAAGCACCGGCUAACUACGUG
rnacentral:rRNA from 1 species